ACUCAAAUGAAUUGACGGGGGCCCGCACAAGCGGUGGAGCAUGUGGAUUAAUACGUCACUAACCGUAGAACCUUACCCAGGCUUGACAUCUGUAGAAGGUCCCUGAAAGGGGAUUGUGCCUCGCAAGAGGAGCUACAAGACAGGUGUUGCAUGGCUGUCGUCAGCUCGUGUCGUGAGAUGUUGGGUUAAGUCCCGCAACGAGCGCAACCCUCACCGUCUGUUGCCAGCAUUCAGUUGGGCACUCUGACGGAACUGCCCGGGUAACCGGGAGGAAGGUGGGGACGACGUCAAGUCAGCAUGGCCCUUACGCCUGGGGCUUCACACAUGCUACAAUGGCCGGUACAAAGGGUCCCGAUACCGCGAGGUGGAGGCAAUCCCAAAAAGCCGGUCUCAGUUCGGAUCGCAGGCUGCAACUCGCCUGCGUGAAGCUGGAAUCGCUAGUAACCGCCGGUCAGCUAAACGGCGGUGAAUACGUUCCCGGGCCUUGUACACACCGCCCGU
rnacentral:rRNA from 1 species